AGCAGGUAAACUUCUUUCCCAGGAAGGAGCACACAUGUGGUUUCAUACUCUUUGGCUUAGGUAUGUCAGAAACCAUGGCAGUGUUUGGUGACACUGAGACACAAUCAGGAUAUACCUGUCAUAUUUCACUUCUGCAUUUCCUGCAAAUCUCUCUAUUUUCUGACAGGGCACAAGGGCUGGGUUAUGAUGUACAGGUGGUUUACUUGAUGGUGUGUGUGGCUUUGAAGAUAAACUCUGGGACUAUUCUUCAAAUGCUGGGCACGCUGAAAAGGAAUUCCCUCCUGCUUCUGGAAAUCAUGAACUGGGAAAAAGCUAAGGACUUUGUCCUUGGCAUCUGGUGCUGUGGAAUAUGAAGCAUAAGAACAUGGACUCAAUGCCAAACACUAACCCAGGCAUGGAAAGGUUUGAGAUGGGGUCCAGGGACCAAGAGGAUAGAGGUCAUGAUCUCAUGGUUUGUGGGUUUGAGCCCUACAUCAAGCUCUGCACUGACAGCUCAGAGCCUGCUUGGGAUCCUCUCUUUGUCUCUCUCUCUGCUCUUCCCAUAAGCACCCCCCACCCUCUCAAAAUAAAUAAAUAAAUAAACUUAAAAAAUACUAAAAAUUUGUGAUUGAAAAUAAAAGACAUUCUGGCCUUAAUUAAGUAUAUAAUUAAAUGAUUAAUUGUGUCUUUUGUGGCCUAAUUGGCUUUACUUUCCUAUACCCUUUGUGUCCACAAAGGUGACCAAGGUCCACCAUGGUAGGGCUCAGAAGCUUUGGGUGUCAUUGUCGGCAGAAUGUGUCAUGUUGUAUGUGUUUGGUAUCUCUCCAUAAACCUCCAUGACCUUUGGGGAUGGAAUGUCAACAUGUCCAUCUACUUUUUUUUUUUAAGUUUAUCUAUUUUGAGAGAGAAAGAGAG